rnacentral:rRNA from 1 species
GAUCGAGUGGCGCACGGGUGCGUAACACGUAGGUAAUCUACCUUCAGGUGGGGGAUAACUGUUCGAAAGGACAGCUAAUACCGCGUAAGACCACGACCCCCUCGGGGGUUGAGGUCAAAGAUGGCCUCUUCUUGAAAGCUAUCGCCUGGAAAUGAACCUGCGGCCCAUCAGCUAGUUGGUAAGGUAACGGCUUACCAAGGCUAAGACGGGUAGCUGGUCUGAGAGGAUGAUCAGCCACACUGGCACUGGAACACGGGCCAGACUCCUACGGGAGGCAGCAGUGGGGAAUCUUGGACAAUGGGCGAAAGCCUGAUCCAGCGACGCCGCGUGAGUGAUGAAGGCCUUCGGGUUGUAAAGCUCUGUUGAGAGGGAAGAAAAAUACACGUUCAAAUAGGGCGUGUCCUUGACGGUACCUCUUUAGAAAGCACCGGCUAACUCUGUGCCAGCAGCCGCGGUAAUACAGAGGGUGCAAACGUUGCUCGGAAUCACUGGGCGUAAAGCGCAUG